UACGGGGGAUGCAAGCGUUAUCCGGAUUUAUUGGGUUUAAAGGGUGCGUAGGCUGUGAGGUAAGUCAGCGGUGAAAUGCCCCCGCUCAACGGGGUGAAGUGCCAUUGAUACUGCCUUGCUGGAAUGCGGAUGCCGUGGGAGGAAUGUGUGGUGUAGCGGUGAAAUGCAUAGAUAUCACACAGAACACCGAUUGCGAAGGCGUCUCACGAAUCCGCGAUUGACGCUGAUGCACGAAAGCGUGGGUAUCAAACAGG
rnacentral:rRNA from 1 species